AGAACCCAUUUUAGUUCUGUCUUUCAGCCUAGCACACUCCACAUUCUCAGACAUCGCUUCUUGAGAGUGUACUAACCAUCAACUAUCAUUUCACAAUGGAGAAGGGUAGGCUGGAACUUGGAUGUGCAUUGGCAGGUCUGCAUUGGCAGACCAGAUGUCACCAUACAGACAACAAUAUCCUACAGGACAGAAAAGCUUGAAAGUAAAAGAAACUUUGGUGUUUGAAUAAACCACACAUUUGUCCUGGACAACCUGCCUAUCGUUGAACUGUUACAUGAGAGAAAAAGAGAUUUCUCUCUUAUUUGAACAAUUGCAUUUUCAAGUCUUUUUGUUACAGCAGCAUAACUGAUACCCUAACCCUGACAAAUACAUUUUUAAACAAAAGGAGGAAUGCUACUAUCGUACUCUAUGCUGGUCCAGUCUUACUUGGGGUGCAGUAUUCUCAUCUGUGAAUCACAUUUCAAGGGGCCUAAAGACAAAGUAGAAGUGUUCAGAUAACAGCAACAUGAUUGGUGAGAAAUUCAAAGUUGAAGAAACUGGAAGAGCAGAUUUAGAGUAAGUAGGAGUGCCACUUUCAAAUGUCUGAGGAACUGGCCUGUGAAAGAAUGAUUCACUUUGUUCUGUGUAGUUUCAGUAGAUAGAAGUAUGGUUCAACGGGAAAACUGAUUUUGCUGAAGAGAAAGAUUUCUGGCUGUCAGGUCUGCAUAGACAUUGGAGGCACUGAGUUCCCUGCUCAUGGAGAUAUUUUUCACAGAGCCUGGAUAAUCAUUUGGCUGGAUUUGUAACAACUGUGUAUCAUACAGCAUGAAAAUGCAUUUUCUAGCUUCCCUUGAAGUGAAAUGUGAGCAAAAAUGAUGCCAGCCACUCCCAGACCGGCCCAUAGAAACCUCCCAUAUUCUUUCUUCUUCUGCUGCUGGAUAUUGACACAGGGGAUGACUUUGAAAGCUGAGUAUUGAAGAUGGCAGAAGCUGUCUUUCAGCCUUGGUCCCUGAACAACAUGUUGAGCAGAUCCCGUGGUAAUCUGGAACUGCCCUGGACUGUGUAAAGGAAUCAACUUCUUUAUACAACAAUGGCAGAGAAGUUCUACAAUAUGGAGUCCUGUGAUAAAAGGUCCAGCUGACUGACCCACCAGCUGGUGACCAGCAGAGCAGAGGAGGAGCAAGCACAGGACCUUCACCUUUCCUGCCAGGUGUGGGCGCCAGUCAAGCAGAUCAUUCUCCAUAAUGUGGGUGUCCUCAUCCAAUCAGUUGAAAGCCUGAAAAGAACAAAAAGCAGAUCUUUCUUGAGCAAGAAGGAUUCUCCAACAGACUGCCUUCAGACUUCAUCUGCAGCAUCGGCUCUUCCUGGUUCUGCAGUAAACUGUUCCUGGACUUGACUACAGCUCUUUCUCGAGUCUCCAGCCUGCUGGCUUCGUCUAUGAGAUUUUGUACUCACCAGGCAUCCACAAGCACAUGAGCCAAU
rnacentral:lncRNA from 1 species